UACGGAGGGUGCAAGCGUUAUCCGGAUUCACUGGGUUUAAAGGGUGCGUAGGAGGGCAGGUAAGUCAGUGGUGAAAUCUCCGAGCUUAACUUGGAAACUGCCAUUGAUACUAUCUGCCUUGAAUAUUGUGGAGGUGAGCGGAAUAUGUCAUGUAGCGGUGAAAUGCUUAGAUAUGACAUAGAACACCAAUUGCGAAGGCAGCUCGCUACACAUAUAUUGACUCUGAGGCACGAAAGCGUGGGGAUCAAACAGG
rnacentral:rRNA from 1 species